UUGCUGCCUGAUGGAUGCAACAGUCAUGGCAAGGUCAUGCAAUUUUUAAUGCUAUUCCUGGUAUACAUUUUGGAGUGACAAGGAUAAAAAGGAGAGCAAUUAAGAAUGAAUGACAUCGACCUGCCAAAGUUGUCAUGCAGUGGCUCUGCAACCAUGAGGAUCAAAAUAUGCAAAGGAUGGCGGUUUGCUAUCAUUUCUAUCCUGGCUGUCAAGGUACUGGAACUUUUUUUGGGGGGGGUACUGGGGAUUGAACUCAGGACCUUGCACUUGUGAGGCAGGUGGUAGAACCACUGAGCUAAAUCCCCAGUCCAAAGCUUUCUGCAGAACAAACUGCACAGCUUAGAGCUGAGCUCUUCAUUGUCAGGCAACUUCUUCAAACAAUGAAGCAGAAAACUAAUCAAAAUUCAGUGGACACUAUUUUGAAGUUUACACUGAGUGCACUUUGGAACCUCACAGAUGAAUCCCCAUCCACUUGCAGACACUUUAUUGAAAACCAAGGUUUAGAACUCUUCAUGAGGGUUCUAGAGUCUUUCCCAACUGAGUCAUCCAUUCAAAAGAAAGUUCUAGAACUUUUGAACAAUAUAGCUGAAGUACAAGAAUUGUAUUCUGAAUUAAUGUGGAAGGAUUUUAUAGACCACAUCAGUAGUCUCCUACACAGUGUUGAAGUGGAUGUGAGUUACUUUGCAGCUGGCAUUAUUGCCCAUUUAAUAUCCAGAGGUGAACAAGCUUGGACAUUGAGCCUUAGCCAGAGAAAUUCUCUUCUUGACCAUUUGCUUUCAGCUAUUUUGAAAUGGCCAACUCCAGAGUGUGAGACGUUAGCAUACAGGUCUUUUAAUCCAUUUUUCCCAUUACUUGGCUGAUUCACAACACUGGGAGUCCAGCUGUGGGCAGUUUGGAUGAUGCAACAUGUCUGCAGCAAGAAUCCUUCAAUGUAUUGCAGCAUGGCGAUUGAAGAAGGAGGUCUGCAACAUUUAUAAAACAUCAAAGAACAUGAUCAGACUGAUCCCUAUUUCCAACACAUUGCUGUGGCCAUUCUGGACAGCUUAGAAAAAUAUAUUGUGUGCCAUGGGAGGCCACCUCCCUGUACGAAGCAGCCAUAGGCUAGACUAAAUUGAUAGCCAUAGGUAAUUGGAUAAUUGAGUCACUAGGGUUCUUUUUGUGAUUGGUCCACUUGGAAUAUCUUACCCUCUGUGUUGUUUUGGGUUCUAUGACAAAAGUCAUAAGAUCAGUUUGGGAUUAGUAAUGUACAGUACUGCCUAUGUGAACAGUCUAAUAUGUCUUGUGAUAUUUAACUUAUGAGGCAAGAAAGGUCUCUUUAUCAUUCCCUUUUAGGAAAUUUUCCACAUCUUUCAGUGUUUGAAUUUACCUGUGCUUGAGAUUCUACAGUUUUCUGAUAAAGUUUGCAUGAACCCUUAGGCCAGACUUUUCUGAUCUCAAAGUCCCUUCCAAUCAAUUUGUGACUGCUGGUGGUCUCUCUAGAGGGAGACCUGAGACUCCGGAAAGCACUGACUUUUAAAGAAAGAAAAGGAGACAGCCUGGGGGACAAACAGCAGUUUAAUUCCUCUGACACUGUUUGACAACCACAAAGGAAAGAAGCAAGGCCUUUAUACAUGUAGGAAAGCAGCUUAGUUAUUCUGGCUAUUGUCUUUCUGAUUUUAACCUCUGAUGAUAACCAGUGACUUUAAGUGACUCAUAAAAGCUACUGGCGAAUUCACAAGUCCCCCGUUUCCAUUUACCAAUCCCGUACAUCAAAGAGCACACCGCAGCCCUCUUCUUAUCAGAUGGUACCAAGAGAGCAGGACGACUUCAGCCAAAAUCAAGCCCACCGACCCACCACAAACAUCACAGAUGUGCAUAGUGAGUCCUAUCUCUCUCACCACCUGUAGAGUCAUUGGGUCACGGUUCUCUGAUCCCAGGAAAUGGUAAAUAAGAAAACUAGGAAAACCUGUUUUUCUCCUGUGAGACUUUUACAACGUCUCUUAAAGUUUUCUGGCAUUCUUUUAACAAACGGACUUGUGUAAUUUCCCAGAAACCACUUAAUUUUCUUAGUUAACAAACUUCUUGUGAUCAAUUCUUACAACUAGAUAGCUGAAUUCUACAAUUUCCCACAGUGACCUCGGAUUUCUGGCACUGCUUCAGUUCUAAAGUUUCUACUGCUUCUGUAUAAAAUGCCUUUAUCCUCUGUGUAUCUCUUAGAAGACACCCUUAGUGUGAAAAAAUGGAAACCUGCAUUGUCUCCUCAUGGAAGUUAUUCACUCUGUGCAACCUGGGUGGCUGGCAGAAAAAUAUAUUGGGAAGAAAAACAAUGAGGAAGAAUAGAGUUUAGGAACUGAUAAUUGCUUUCAUGGCAUAGUUUCUAAAAUGGGACAGGUUGCCUUUCUGGAGCCCACCUCUUUGGAGGCAGUGAGCAGAACCUUGUUCCUGUAUUUAUGGCUGGAAACAUGGACUGGUACUUCCUAUACAGACUGCAGGUUGCUCUCUAGAAAUAUUUCCCAGGCAUCACACUACAAACUAUUACAGCACUCUGUGUUAAAGUCCAAUUGUCUAACUCUCUGUAUGUCAUAUUGUUCUGAAAAUGUAAAUUAAAAAAAAUUGUCUCUGGUUAAAAGUAGCUGUUCUUUCUUUUCCUGCUAUUUUAAAGCCAUUUUUUGUUCAGUGGGAUAGAGACUACUCAUGGUAUUAACCUGCUUAGUUAAAACACAAUUGACAGCAGUAAAGUUUGCCACAAAAAGUUAAAUUUGUGAUGGAGGUGUAGCUCAGAAGUUAAGGGCAUGCUUAGCAGGUACAGCCAGCCCUGAGUUCAAUACUCAGCACUAAAAAAAAAAAAAAAAAGAAAGAAAAAGAAAAAGCUAAAUUUUUUCCAAAUAUGUAUACUUCUUAAUUUGUCCAUGUUAUAAAAAGCUGUUCACAUCUUACUGCCAAAAAUGCAAGAGAAGAAUAAGAC
rnacentral:lncRNA from 1 species